rnacentral:rRNA from 1 species
GGACAUUGUCAGGUGGGGAGUUUGGCUGGGGCGGCACAAUCUGUUAAAAGAUAACGCAGGUGUCCUAAGAUGAGCUCGACGAGAAACAGAAAAAAUCUCGUGUGGAAACAGAAGGGUAAAAGCCUUCGUUUUGAUUCUGAUUUUUUCAGUACGAAAUACGAAACCGUGAAAGCGUGGCCCUAACGAUCCUUUAGAACCUUCGGAAUUUUGGAAAGCUAGAGGUGUCAGAAAAAGUUACCACAGGGAUAACUGGCUUGUGGCAGCCAAGCGUUCAAUAGCGACGUUUGCUUUUUUGAUCCUUCGAUGUCGGCUCUUCCUAAUCAUUGUGAAGCAGGAAUUCACCAAGUGUUGGAUUGUUCACCCACCAAUAGGGAAACGGGGCGAGUUAAACCCGUUGCGGCGCAAAGGAAGCUGAUUGGCGGGGAUCCCCUCGCGGGCUGCGCCGCCGGACCGAACCUUGAUCUUCUGAGAAGGGUUCGAGUGAGAGCAUAACCUGUCGGGAACCCGAAAAAGAUGGUGGAACUAUUGCCUGAGCGGGGCGAAGCCAGAGGAAACUCUGGUGGGAGGCCCGAAGCGAUACUGACGUGCAAAUUCGUUCGUCUGACUUGGGUUAUAAGGGGCGAAAGACUAAUUCGAACCGUCUAGUAGCUGGUUCCCUCCGAAGUUUUCCCCUCAGGAUAGCUGGGAGCUGGAAUGCGAGUUUCUAUCGGGUAAAGCCAAUGAUUAGAGGCAUCGGGGGCGCAACGCCCUCGGAACCUAUUCUUCAAAACUUUAAAUAGGGUAGGACGUCGCCGGCUGCUUCGUUGAGGCCGCGACACGGAAAUCGAGAAGCUCCAAGUGGGCCAUUUUUUGGUAAGCAGAACUGGCGAUGCGGGGAUGAACCGGAAGCCGGGGUUACGGCGCCGGACUGCGCGCUAACCUAGAUCCCACAAAAGGGUGGUUGGUCGAUUAAGACAGCAGGACGGGUGGUCCAUGGGAAGUCGAAAAUCCGCUAAGGAGUGUGUAAACAACUCAACCUGGCCGAAUCAAACUUAGCCCCGAAAAAUGGAUGGCGCUUAAGGCGCGCCGACCUACACCCGGCCCGUCGGGGCAAAGUGCCAGGCCCCGAUGAGUAGGAGGGCCGCGGCGGGUCGCCCGCAAAGCCUGUGGGCGCGAAGCCCAGGGCGGAGCGGCCGUCGGUGCAGAUCUUGGUGGUUAGUAGCAAAAUAUUCAAGUGAGAACUUUUGAAAGGCCGAAGAGGGGAAAGGUUCCAUGUGAACGGCACUUGCACAUGGGUUAGUCGAUCCUAAAGAGGACGGGGGAAGCCCGUCCGACAGCGGCGCCAGCGCGAGCUUCGAAAGGGAAUCGGGUUUAACAUUUCCUGAAACCGGGGAACGUGGCGGCUGACGGCAAACGUUAGGGAAGUCCGGAGGACGGUCGGUGGGGGCCUCGGGAAGAGUUAUCUUUUUCUGUUUUAACAGCCUGCCCACCCUGGAAAACGGCCUCAGCCGGAGGUAGGGUCCAGCGGCCGGAAAGAGCACCGCCACGUCGCGUGGUGUCCGGUGCGCCCCCGGCGGCCCUUGAAAAUCCGGAGGACCGAGUGCCGACCACGCCCGGUCCGUACUCAUAACCGCAUCAGGUCUCCAAGGUGGAACAGCCUCUGGUCGAUGGAAACAAUGUUAGGCAAGGGAAAGUCGGCAAAAUGGAUCCGUAACUUCGGGAAAAGGAAUUGGCUCUGAGGGCUGGGCACGGGGGGUCCCCAGUCCCGAAACCCGUCGGCUGUCGGUGGACUGCUCGAGCUGCCUCCGCGGCGAGAGCGGGGUCGCCGCGUGGCCGGCCCGGGGGACGGGACUGGGAAACGGCUCCCUCGGGGGGGCCUUCCCCCGGGCGUUCGAACAGCCGACUCAGGAAACUGGUUACGGACAAGGGGAAAUCCGACUUGUUUAAUUAAAACAAAGCAUUUGCGAUUGGUCCCCUGAGGGAUGCUAACCGCCAAUGUGAUUUCUG